GACGAACGCUGGCGGCAGGCUUAACACAUGCAAGUCGAGCGCCCCGCAAGGGGAGCGGCAGACGGGUGAGUAACGCGUGGGAACGUACCCUUUACUACGGAAUAGCUCCGGGAAACUGGAAUUAAUACCGUAUGUGCCCUUCGGGGGAAAGAUUUAUCGGUAAAGGAUCGGCCCGCGUUGGAUUAGCUAGUUGGGGGGGUAAAGGCCUACCAAGGCGACGAUCCAUAGCUGGUCUGAGAGGAUGAUCAGCCACAUUGGGACUGAGACACGGCCCAAACUCCUACGGGAGGCGGCAGUAGGGAAUAUUGGACAAUGGGCGCAAGCCUGAUCCAGCCAUGCCGCGUGAGUGAUGAAGGCCUUAGGGUUGUAAAGCUCUUUCACCGAUGAAGAUAAUGACGGUAGUCGGAGAAGAAGCCCCGGCUAACUUCGUGCCAGCCGCCGCCGUAAGAC
rnacentral:rRNA from 1 species